GCAGUCUCUCAUCUAGGGCUUUCUGGUGUUACUAGAAUGUCCCCAAGCUCUCCCAGCUGGUGAGCGUCAGCGAAACCCAGCAUUCCAGCCCGGGGUCUGUGCUCUGACGCCCCAAGUGUGGUUUGAACGAGCCGUAUCUGCGUCACUAGGCUUGUUACCUCACCUUCUGGCCCACGUUUCGUGACAGGUAUUGAGCCCAAGAGGACUCCCUAAUAUCACCCUGGAAACUCAGCCUUCUGUGUUCCACCCAGACAAGAAGCAGAAAAUUGUGUCCAGCUGAAGAGCAAGGCCUGAAGGCAAAUAUUGCUAUGGAAUGGAGCAAACUUGGCUGAGAAUGUUGAAAUGGCCAACACGACAGGGUCAUCACAGCACUAUUUAUAAUAACCAGGACAUGGAAGCAACCUAGAUGCCCAUCA